rnacentral:rRNA from 1 species
UACGGAGGGGGCUAGCGUUGUUCGGAAUACUGGGCGUAAAGCGCACGUAGGCGGACUGUUAAGUCGGGGGUGAAAUCCUGGGGCUCAACCUCAGAAUUGCCUCCGAUACUGGCAGUCUCGAGUGCGGGAGAGGUGAGUGGAACUGCGAGUGUAGAGGUGAAAUUCGUAGAUAUUCGCAAGAACACCAGUCGGCGAAGGCGGCUCACUGGCCCGGUAC